rnacentral:sRNA from 1 species
UAGUUCACAUGUUGGUUGAGGAACAGUUUCAAGCUGGUGAUAUAGAACCACCACUUAGCCAUUGGAACACACCCAUUUUUGUUAUUAAGAAAAAGUCAGGUAGUUAGAGUUUAUUACAGGAUGCAAAGGUGAUAAAUCAUGCAAUUCAGCCUAUGGGAGCAUUAUAGUCUGGACUUCCUUCCCCCACAGCUAUUCCUUUUGAUUAUAGCUUAAUGGUAAUAGAUCUAAAAUACUUCUUUUUUCUAUAAAAUUACAUCCUGAGGAUUGUGAGAAAUUUGCUUUCAG